CCUACGGGUGGCAGCAGUGAGGAAUAUUGGUCAAUGGACGCGAGUCUGAACCAGCCAUGCCGCGUGCAGGAAGACGGCUCUAUGAGUUGUAAACUGCUUUUGUACGAGGGUAAACUCAGAUACGCGUAUCUGUCUGAAAGUAUCAUACGAAUAAGGAUCGGCUAACUCCGUGCCAGCAGCCGCGGUAAUACGGAGGAUUCAAGCGUUAUCCGGAUUUAUUGGGUUUAAAGGGUGCGUAGGUGGUCGGAUAAGUUAGAGGUGAAAGCCCGAGGCUCAACUUCGGAAUUGCAGCUGAUACUGUUCGGCUAGAGAGUAGUUGAGGUAGGCGGAAUGUAUGGUGUAGCGGUGAAAUGCUUAGAGAUCAUACAGAACACCGAUUGCGAAGGCAGCUCACCAAGCUACUUCUGACGUUGAGGCACGAAAGCGUGGGGAGCAAACAGGAUUAGAUACCCCUGUAGUC
rnacentral:rRNA from 1 species